rnacentral:lncRNA from 1 species
UUCAAAGAUUGCACUGUAAUUACAGUUGCUCACAGAAUACCAACUGUUGUAGACUGCACAACGGUGCUUGUUAUGAAGGAUGGAAAGGUGAUGGAAUAUGACAAGCCCGUGACAUUGAUGAAUGAGCCAGCAUCCUUGUUCGCGCAGCUUGUUAACGAAUAUUUGUCGCAACAUAAGACCUCGUAAUCUUAUAACUACGUAAGCUUUGGAUAAUUUACUAACUUACAUAAUUGAUAUAUAUUAUGAUUUUAUAAAGUUUUUGACCACCCUUAGACUAUGAAGAUGCUGGAACAAGGAAUAAAAGAUUUCACAUUAUAUUUCCAGAUCAACUGAGGCUUCAUUCAGUUAUCAAUAACUUGACUGAUGGCAUGAUUACUCCUGCUUCUUAAUCUAGUAACUUGUUUGGUGCUGCUACAGUUUCCUUUUUUUCCAUAUAAAGACUUGAUUUAU